GGAGGAUUCGGGACUGGGGGCGGCCGCUGCUCUCGGGGAGCAGCCGAGCGUUUCGCGCCCUUCGGGGGGAACGUGGAGGGGAGGAUACCGGGAAACUUGGUGUCUGACUUUGUUCUCUCCGCAGCGACCCAAAGCGAGUAACUCGGUGGUAUUUUUGCAGUAUCGACAUGGGCGGCAGAAAAUGCGGGAGCUUGUUGUGGAUGUUGCAGUGAAUGUUCGUGGGGAAAGUUGCUUUUCACAGGAAAUGCAGGAACAAAGUAAACAACAUAUCUUGAAUUACUAAAAAAGCUGGUUGCGUCAGAGUAAUGUCAAAGUGCUUACAGUGCAGGUAGUGAUAUAUAGAACCUACUGCAGUGAAGGCACUUGUAGCAUUAUGUUGACAACUGCCUCAGGAGAUCUUGCAGGACUUCAGAGAUUGGAAAGGUACUGUGUGGUGGUGUCAAGUGCUUUUUGUACUAAGGUGCAUCUAGUGCAGAUAGUGAAGUAGAUUAGCAUCUACUGCCCUAAGUGCUCCUUCUGGCAUAAGAAGUUAUGUCUUCAUCCAGUCACUCAGGCUAUUACUGUAGAUGUUCCAGUAGCUUUCUGCUUUGCAGUCUUCUGUUAGUUUUGCAUAGUUGCACUACAGGAAGAAUGUAGUUGUGCAAAUCUAUGCAAAACUGAUGGUGGCCUGUUAUAAUCUACAUCAAGGAGUCUGAAAGCUUUCUGCUGAUUAUGGGAUGUUUUGUGGCCUUUCUCACUUAACAGCAGACUAGUGGAUGACAGCUCUUGUAGCACUAAAGUGCUUAUAGUGCAGGUAGUGUUCACUAAUCUACUGCAUUAUAAGCACUUAAAGUACUGCUAGCUGUAGAACUACAUAUUCAGCAUGUUUUGCAAUUUGUUGUUAAAUUGAACACUGUUCUCUGGUUAGUUUUGCAGGUUUGCAUCCAGCUGUAUGAUACUCUGCUGUGCAAAUCCAUGCAAAACUGACUGUGGCAGUGACAAGUCAGUCAGUAAAUGUGGAGAAAUUGUACCCCUUUCUACACAGGUUGGGAUCAGUUGCAAUGCUGUGCGUUUCUGUGGUAUUGCACUUGUCCCGGCCUGUUGAGGUUGGUGGAGAUAGAGGCUGAAACACUUCGUAGUGGCAAGGAAUUUCUCCCUCUCUCACUGAUCUAGGAAACCUAAAAGCCUUACCUUUCUCCUUGAAGAAAUGUCAUGUAAUUUCCAGUGUAACUAGAUGUUCAUUUUCUGUAUCUGAAUUGUUUGUAUGUACCAGAUUUUUGCUGAUAAUUAUUUACUGAAGUCCUUGAGUAUGGGACUUGGGGAGGGGAGGGAUCUUAAUUUGUUUUGAUUUGUUUCUUUAAAAAAAAAAGUCUUCUAUUAAACUGAGCUGAAUGUAUAUUUACAAUUUCUUCUCCAUUACUUUGUUGGGAAGAAAUGAAUCCUAAGGAACAAAAUCUGAGCUUGUUUCUCAAAUUCAAAUUACAUGGAUUAAUAGCUUCUGUAUUGGUUUUUAAUUUUUAGUAUUAUCAAAACUAGAUGUUCUUAUUAGUAAUAUAGGAGCACACUUUUAAUCUUGAUUACUCAUCCAGAUUUUGUUAAGUUCAGGAGUAGUAAAGAAUGUUGCAGACAGGGUCUUAUGAUGCCUCAGCUAUGGCAUCUUUAAUACUAGUUAGGUGUCUGCAUCUUGUGAGGCAUCUGCGUUUGUGGCGAGUGUAACACUGGUCAUCUUGCAAGCUAUGGAGUAAUUCACUUAGCAUAUGAUGCAUAGCAAUAAAAAUAAAAACAUCUCUAGAGAUAUCUGAAGAGCUUACCUGUACAACUGUUUCAAAAGGCUGGAGACAGAUUCAAUAUCUGGCUUCAUAAGGAAGUAUAAAUGUAAAAUCUGUAAGUGGAGCAUUUGACACAGUCUUUGGAUGAGCCAUGUGCUAGAGAGCUACACUUGUAGCUUACUUAUAGCUUACUUAUUUUCUAAAGUGGGCUUUCUAAGUAAUAGUGCUGUAAAUUCUAAGUAGUAUCCAAUUUGUUGGUCACAGCUGACAAACUCUGUAGUCUUCUAAAAAACCUGUGUGGUAGAGGAAUUAAGACUAUUUGAGUCAAUGCUGCCCUUGCUGUCCUUUAAAUUAAAGCAGAAUGUUAAGCUAAGUGGGUCGUUGUUCCCAAGACAGUGUUUUCCAGAGUCUGUCAAUGUAUGUCAUGAUGCUGGCUCAGAAUUUUCUAUUAUUCCAGUGUCUAGCGAAAUGUUGUCAUUUCUUCUAAAUUUCUUUCUGAAGUAUCCAAGCAGUCUUAGAUUUUACUUUAGUGCCCUUUUUCUUCUACUCCUGAAGUCCUCAGACAGGUUUCUUAUCCAAAAUACUCUUUCCCAAAUGUAAAAUUUUCUUUAGUUCUGCAGAUUUACAGGAAGUUUUGCUUCAGUGAGGUCAGGUAAAGAAGGCAAGUGUCUCAUGUCAUGAUUCCUCUUCAGUAAUUUCCUGUAGUAAUCUGCUAGCAAUAACAGAGUUAGCUCCUUUUUGGAUUAAAAAGCCAUGUACUUUCUAGCAUGAGUUGAAAUACAACAAGUGUUUUAAUACAUGAUUACAUUUUAUAUUGUCAUGUGAGCAGUAUAUUUUGAAGUAUAUGUCUUAGAUUCCGACAAUGAAACUUCUUAAAACUGAAUGUUUAUAAAAGCAAUUUUUAUUCCAUGGAAUUUUGAGUUGUCCCAUUAGAUUUGAUAGAGAGGACCUACAUAGCUUUUUUUAAAAAACGUUUGUGUAAAAAAUAGAAUGACAGAAGUAUUCCUGAUCCAAUCACUUAAUUUUUUUACUUGUCCAGCCUGAACAGAAAGAACAACAAGAAAAAAGGAAAAAAGAAAACCUGACAAUUUGUACUCAUCUACAAGUAUUUUUUUCAUAUUCAAGUGCAAAGACUCAAUUUCACAAAUGUCAUACACCAUUUUAAAGAUAAUGGCUUGUUAUGCUUUGUCAGGGGCAGUUACAAUAGUGCCUGUGUAAACUCCAAUAACCAUCUUCUGCGUGCUUUCCAUACAGAUUCAUCUCACUAAUUGUAAAACUUGUACAAUCAGAGGCUUAUUAAAUGCUUUUUUUUUAAAAAAACAAACUUGUAUGUACUGAGUAUUGACUCAUUCUAAUGUGUUGCUAUUGAAUCUUAGAUUGGCUUUGGUUGGAGACGUUGAAGAUCAUACAGUUCCACCCCCCCUCACCAUGGGCGGUGUUGUCGACCACUGGAUCAGACUGCCUGGGGCACCCAUUUUUACUGCAGGGCUGGGGUAUCCACAACUUCUCUGAGCAACCUGUUUGAGUGCCUCACCACCUUACGAGUAAAAAAAUUUCUUCCUAACAUCUAACCUUGAUCUACCCUCUUAUUGAAAGCUAUUCCCCUUAUUGCUAUUACUUUGUAAGUGCUUGUAAGAUCCCUUAAAGUACUGAAAGGCUGUAGUGAGGUCUUCCUCGAGCCUUCUCCAAGCCCGGUUUUUUCAACCUAUCCUUAUAGAGGUGCUUUGAUCAUAUUUGCGGCCCCCCUGGAUCCACUCAAGCAGCUCUGCAUCUUGUGCCGGAGGCCCCUGUCUCAGAUCAUAUUUCAAAUGUGGCUUUACAAGGGCAAAGUAGAGGAGGACAUGGACCUACCUCAAUCUGCUGGCCUCCCCUCUGUUGCAGCCUAUGUAACUGUUAAUCUUCUGGGUUGUAGGCACGCACUGCUGGGUCAUGUCUGACUUUUUGUCCACGGGGACCCCUCGAAGUCUUCCACAGGGCUGCUCAGUGAGUUCUUUUUCCCAGUCUGUACUCAUCUGGGAUUAUCUUGACCCAUGUGUGACACCUUUCACUUGUCCUUGUUAGACCUCAUUAGAUUCUCGUGUGCAGGCUUUGAGUGUGUCCCAGGUCCCUCUGAAUUAUCUAUCCCUUCUACUGUGUUAACUUCACUCAGCUUGAUGGAUUGGUAGAUUUCUGUUGACUGUACAGUAAGCUUUGUACAUCAAGUUCUUUGUAAAUUAUUCAAGUGAAGAAAAAAAUAAGUCCUAAGAAGUAGUUGUUAGUUCUGUGUAUUUUAGUUUUGUUGAAGUUGAGACAUUGGUAAUGAGAGUAAUAUUGCUGCUGUUAAGUCCAUCUGGUUUUAUUGAAAUAAAUUGAGCCCUGUCAGUCUUAUUUCUGCAGAGGUUGACUGGAGUGGGAUGGUUAGGCAGCUAAAAAGAGUAGUUUGA